rnacentral:piRNA from 1 species
UAGGGGCCGCUCGAGAAUGUUGGCUGA